rnacentral:rRNA from 1 species
AUGAACGCUGGCGGCGUGCCUCAUACAUGCCAGUCGAGCGAACAGACGAGGAGCUUGCUCCUCUGACGUUAGCGGCGGACGGGUGAGUAACACGUGGAUAACCUACCUAUAAGACUGGGAUAACUUCGGGAAACCGGAGCUAAUACCGGAUAAUAUGUUGAAUCGCAUGGUUCAACAGUGAAAGACGGUCUUGCUGUCACUUAUAGAUGGAUCCGCGCCGCAUUAGCUAGUUGGUAAGGUAACGGCUUACCAAGGCAACGAUGCGUAGCCGACCUGAGAGGGUGAUCGGCCACACUGGAACUGAGACACGGUCCAGACUCCUACGGGAGGCAGCAGUAGUGAAUCUUCCGCAAUGGGCGAAAGCCUGACGGAGCAACGCCGCGUGAGUGAAGAAGGUCUUCGGAUCGUAAAACUCUGUUAUUAGGGAAGAACAAAUGUGUAAGUAACUAUGCACGUCUUGACGGUACCUAAUCAGAAAGCCACGGCUAACUACGUG